AUUCAGAUGUUUGUUGAUUGCUUGUGAUAGAAUAAUUUUGGAAAAAAUAUCUUCAAGUUACUAGGUUAAAAGACCACACAUCUACUCCGCCGGGUUUUCUCAUGAGCCCAUGCUCUGAAUAUAUAAUAUUGAAUCGAGGCGAUUCUUAGAAGAUUCCGAGAAAACAUAUCAAGAUGUGCUACUCCAAGGAAAAAUAAAGGUCAACAUAAGAAGCACCAUGAUGAAGGCGGUCAUAGCAGUGAGCACCACGCACAUGGGAAGAGCCACAAAGGCGGUAAGUUCGGAGAGAAAAAGGGACACAAAAAAGGACAAAAGACGAC